UAAUUUGGACCUUUAAUUUACUGAUAAUCAUAAUGUUAGGUGUCAGGGAUUUUCUCAGGCCUUUUAAGCAAAAUUUUUACCCAUCACCCUUAUUCUACAUUUUGUCAUAUUUUGGGCCUUAUCUGAAUCUUAUCUGGUCCCCUGCCUCUUUUACUGCGGAAAAGAAUGUCAGGUAAACUUCAAACAUGGGGGCGGCCUGUGGAUUAUCAAAUAUGUUUUAACUCAAGGAAGCUGUGAUGACACUGCGGGUGCUAAACCUAGGAAGCAAUUGUUCCAUGAUCAUGCAUAUUCACAUUCAAGAUUGGCGUUUUUUUGUUUCACUUGUACGGUUAUUGGACUACACAAUGGUUGCUUUACCAAGGAUUCAUUUACUUCACUG